AUGAAUGGAAGCAGAGUUCCAUUCUAAUAGUACUUGAUGCUAUAAAACCUAGUUAAAUUAAGUUA
rnacentral:tRNA from 1 species